GAUGAACGCUGGCGGCGUGCCUAAUACAUGCAAGUAGAGCGAUGAAGAGAGGAGCUUGCUCUUCUUGGGUGAGUUGCGAACGGGUGAGUAACGCGUAGGUAACCUGCCUGGUAGCGGGGGAUAACUAUUGGAAACGAUAGCUAAUACCGCAUAAAAUGGAGUAUCGCAUGAUAAUAUAUUGAAAGGUGCAAUUGCAUCACUACCAGAAGGACCUGCGUCGUAUUUGCUAGUUGGUGGGGUAACAGCCCACCAAGGCGACGAUACAGAGCCGACCUUAGGGGGAUGUCCGCCACACUGGGACUGGGGCACGGCUCAGACUUCUUCAGGAGGGAGCAGUAGGGAAACUUCGGCCAUGGACCGAAGGCUGACCGGGGCACGCCGCGGUGGGUAAUAAGGUUCUCGGAUCGUAAAGCUCCGUUGUAUGGGAAAAAAGAGAUUGGUAGGGAAAAAUUCACACUGUGACGGUACCUUACCAGAAAGGGACGGCUAACUACGUG
rnacentral:rRNA from 1 species